CAGUAUAAUGACAAGGCAAAGUUCGGGGACCUCAAAUUUGAGUUCAAGUUGGUGUAAUCCCGAUACCAGAGGGUCCUCCUCAAUUUGAGAGCAGCCAGUUGGGUCAAGCACCAAGAUGAAGAGGAAGUACAACCCAAUUAGGUGCAUGUUUUGUGGUGAAGUUGGACACAACAAGAGAAGCUGUGCAAAGAAGAAAAAGGAGGAUGCUGAGGAACAAGCUAGGCAAAUGCAACUUCAGCUUGUCCUUGCUAAAGGGCCUGCUUCCCCUACAGAUGAGCCAAACACCAACAAUGAAGUUCAAUCAC